rnacentral:lncRNA from 10 species
AUAAAUAAAAUAAAAUAAAAUAGCCAGGUGGGAGGUGGGAGAAUUGCUUGAAGCCAAGAGUUCAAGGCUGCAGUGAGCUAUGAUCAUGCAACUGCACUCCAGCCUGGGCAAUAGAGCAAGACCCUCUUAAAAAAAAGUUAUUAUUGAUAUAGUUAGAUUUACAUAUGCUGCUUUCCCUUUUGUAUUUUAUGUCUCAUGUAUCUUUUGUUCAUCUAUUUCUCCUUCACUUUUGUCUUAAGUGCAUAUUUUGUAAUGUAAUAUUUUAUUUAUUUAAUGAUUCCUUACAAUAUUUUUGCAGUUAUUUCUUUAGUGUUUGUUCUAGGAAGUGUUAAAUACACAUUAACUUAUCAGAGUCUACUUCAGAUUUAUACUACCUUAAUUCCAAUAAGACUUUUAUAAACCCAUUAUUCCUAUACUUUUUCACAAUAAACCUUAGAUCUUCAAGACACUCACAAAACCAAAAGCCACUUCCUUCUCUCAACACUUACCCCCAAGACAAAUGAAGAUAUAUGGAAAUAUAUGGCAUACCUAGUUCAGACUUCUAUUAAAGAGUCACACAAACAUUCCAUCAAUAAACAUGCAGCAUGAAUUUCUAAAUAAACGUCUGCUUGAAGCACUUUUAUUUGCCAGUAGAAGUAAUAUUUCCAACUGUCUCAGGUCAAGAGUUCCUUUUGGCCUCCAGCCUGAUCUCAGACUGGACUUUCCUCUUUGGGAACUCCUAUGCCCUCUACUCAGAAGACUGUCCUCUUGGCUUCUUUUGGCUUUUCAGCAACAUUGACAUUUGUCUUCUGUAUUAUUAUUAUAUAGUUUGUUUAUUUAUUUUUACUUUUUACAGAUAUGAGGUCUUGCCCUGUCAUCCAGGCUGAAACACAAUCAUGGCUCACUGCAUCCUCAACCUUCUGGGCUGAAGCGACACUCCUGCCUCAGCCUCCCAAGUAGCUGGGACCAUAGGAAAGCAUCUUAUUUUUUUUCAUUUUUUAGUUCUCUUUCUUAUUCUUUUGCCACAAGUUGAUAAUUGAGGCCGAUGCAAGUGAAGACAUAGAUACAUGCCACAGUUAGGAUUGUGUCAUAUACACAGAACAUGUGUUUGUCAUUUUCUUUUCUUUUUUUUUUUUUUUUUGAGACAGAGUCUCACUCUGUCACCCAGGCUGGAGUGCAAUGGCGCAAUCUCUGCUCACUGCCACCUCCACCUCCCGGGUUCCAGCGAUUCUCCUGCCUCAGCCUCCCAAGUAGCUGGGAUUACAGGCGCCCGCCACCAUGCCCGACUAAUUUUUGUAUUUUUAGUUGAGACGGGAUUUCACCAUAUUGGCCAGGCUGAACUCGAACUCCCGACCUUGUGAUCCACCCACCUUGGCCUCCCAAAGUGCUGGGAUUACAGGCGUGAGCCACCACGCCCGGCCAGUAGCUACUACUUUCAAUAACACACUUUUAUUGGGUCUUGGUGGAGGGAGAGGGCUGAGGGUCUUAGGAACACAUAAUGGAUACAAUCCAGCAUGUCACAAAGCAUUAUCAUUCUUUCUUCUAGAUUAUGGCAAAGUUCCUGACUUUUGUUCUUCCCCUUGCCAUAAGCCAGUGUUGGAUCUGGUCUUGCCUUAGCUGCUACAGCUAACUUUUAAAACCAUCAUCAUGGUCAGGCAUGGUGGCUCACGCCUGUAAUCCCGGCACUUCGGGAGGCCGAGGCAGGUGGAUUACCUGAGGUCAGGAAUUCAAGACCAGCCUGGCCAACGUGGUGAAACCCCGUCUCUACUAAAAAUACAAAAAUUAGCCAGGCGCGGUGGCACACACCUGUAAUCCCAGCUACUAUGGAGGCUGAGGCAGGAGAAUCGCUUGAACCCAGGAGGCGGAGGUUGCAGUGAGCCGAGAUUGUGCAAUUCACUCCAGCCUGGGUGACAGAACAAGACUCCGUCUCAAAAAAAAAAAAAAACAAAACAAAACAAAAAAAAAAACAGAAAGCAAAACCAUCAUCACUGCUGGGUGUCAGUGCACCAAGUAUAUGCUGUAAGUAAUUGCCCUUCACUGAACACCCUCAAAGGAUUUCACAAGUAUCUACCCCCUCCCCCAACUUUUUUUUUGAGACAGGGUCUCACUGUUGCCCAGACUGGAGUACAGUGCAGCUCACUGCAUCCUUGACCUCCUGGGCUCAAGUGAUCCUCCUGCCUCAACCUCCUGAGUAGCUGGGAUUGCAGGUGUGCACCGCUGUAACCAGCUUUUAAGAAACUUUUGUAGACAGGGUUUUGUCACGUUGCCCUGGGUGUUGUCAUGCUGAGAAGUUUUGAUACAUUACUCAUUCCUGCAAUGCUCUAUGAAUUCUACAUAUUUUCCUAAAUGAGCAAUCCCAUCCCAGGGCAUGUUUAGUGUAGAUUAUUGUUACCAAACUGGUAAAAAUAAGCCAUGGGGAACUGGCAGAAUAAGCUUCCUCCUGCAAGGCAAAUUCCACAUUUUCCCAGAAAAGGGAAGGGGUUCUAUCUGUAUCAGGAGGUGGCAGGUUUUUUAUACCUCAACUACUCAACUGUGCCAUGGCUGUGCAAAAGCAGUCAAAUAAUACACAAAUAUAUUUAGCCAUGUUCCAACAACAGUUAUUUAUGGACACUCAAGUUUGAAUUUUAUAUAUUGCCAACAUCUACUCUAUAGCCUUAAAUGAAGCAUCUGCAGUGCAAAGUCUAUCAGAAGAGUUUGCUAGGCUGAGUCCUCAGGUUCUUCCCAGAUACUCCUAUUCAAAGUCUAUCAGAAGAGUUUGCUAGGCUGAGUCCUCAGGUUCUUCCCAGACAUUCCUAUUCAAAGUCUAUCAGAAGAGUUUGCUAGGCUGAGUCCUCAGGUUCUUCCCAGAUACUCCUAUUCAAAGUCUAUCAGAAGAGUUUGCUAGGCUGAGUCCUCAGGUUCUUCCCAGACAUUCCUAUUCAAAGUCUAUCAGAAGAGUUUGCUAGGCUGAGGCCUCAGGUUCUUCGCAGAUACUGCUAUUCAAAGUCUAUCACAAGAGCUUGCUAGGCUGAGUCCUCAGGUUCUUCCCAGAUAUUCCUAUUCAAAUUAUCAAGGGAUAACUUUUUGAGGGGGGGAAGGGUGAGGAUAACUUUUUCAACACAUGUUUACAUUAAGGGAUUUAGUAAACAUUUGAGGUGAACUGACUUUAAUUCACCAAGCCAAAUAUACUAUUUGAUUCCCACCACCUCACUCCUACAGCUGUAAGAAACUUUUUCAGCAAUGUCAAAGUUGCCAAGUCUGACACUCCACCCUGAGGUGAGAUUUCAGGGCUUCAGGCCUGUCAUUCUCAUGGUCUAAGAUCCAGCAAGAUCAAAAUCAGCCAUCUCUGCCCCUGUCUCAGAUUUUCUCAUAAAUUUAAAAUUCUUAUAAUGCUAUAAUUCUUCAGUGUUUCCAAAAUUUCAGUAUCAGGCACUACAACGUUCCAGGUGUACAGAAACAAUAACCAUAUUUCACAUGAUGGCUAAAAGUUGCUAUCUUCAAAUAUAAACAAGAAUGUGAUUUUCUUGUCUCAGGAAAAACAAACAAACCUAAAUCAUAUACCCCACUUUGUUAACUACAUGCUACCAAGGCAACAACUGAUCAGUUAAAGCCCUUAGGUUAUAAGAAAUAGAAAGCUGGCCGGGCUCGGUGGCUCACACCUGUAAUCCCAUGACUUUGGGAGGCUGAAGUGGGCAGAUCACCUGAGGUCAGGAGUUCAAGACCAGCCUGGCCAACAUGGUGAAACCCCGUCUAUACUAAAAAUACAAAUAUUAGCCAGGCAUGUAAUCCUAGCCACUUGGGAGGCUGAGGCAAGGAAAUUGCUUGAACCCAGGAGGUGGAAGUUGCAGUGAGCUGAGAUCAUGCCAUUGCAUUCCAGCCUGGAGGACAAGAGUGAAACUUAGUCUCAAAAAAAAAAAAAAAAAAAAAAAAAAAAAAACCCAAACAACAAAAAGCAAAAGACAUUUUUAUUGAGAAGUGAGGAAACACACAGAUCAGAGAAGCAGGUUCUAAAGG